UACGUAGGCAGCGAGCGUUGUUCGGAGUUACUGGGUGUAAAGAGUGCGUAGGCGGUUUUCUAAGUUUGGUGUGAAAUCUCCCGGCUUAACUGGGAGGGUGCGCCGAAAACUGGAAGGCUUGAGUAUGGGAGAGGUAAGCGGAAUUCCUGGUGUAGCGGUGAAAUGCGUAGAUAUCAGGAGGAACACCUGCGGUGUAGACGGCUUACUGGACCAUAACUGACGCUGAGGCACGAAAGCGUGGGUAGCAAACAGG
rnacentral:rRNA from 1 species